rnacentral:rRNA from 1 species
AUGGCCAUGAUGAAGGAGGUGCAUGCAACUCUGCUUCCACUUAGUGUCGAUAAAGAUGGAAUGGGGCUUGCAGAGAGAGAGAGAGAGAGAGAGAGAGAGAGAGAGAGAGAGAGAGAGAGAGAGAGAGAGAGAGAGAAACAGCAGCAGAUUGUAGCGCAAAAGGAACAUGCAUCUGUGGAUGGCAAUGUUGUGCUGCAAAAAACUACAGGUGAUGGUGAAUCCAGUUGCUCAGCUGUUGGGCUGAAUGAGAAGAAGAGGCAAAGGGGAAGGCCAACGACCAGCAGGGACAAGGCUCCGUAUGAGCAACAACUUAAGAGGCUGCGGUUUUGCACGAUCUGCAGAGAGCAGGGGCACAAAUGUACAACUUGUCGCAGCGAGGUGAUUUGCCGAAGGCUCCAAGAAGUUGCCGAAAUGCACAAACUGUGGUGUCGUCGGACAUGGGCGCAAUAA